UGGGGUAUAGCCAAGCGGUAAGGCAGCGGUUUUUGGUACCGCCACCCCUAGGUUCGAAUCCUAGUACCCCAGCCA
rnacentral:tRNA from 1 species